ensembl:snoRNA
AGCCUCAUUCUAGAUGAGAAUGGGCACUACUGAUUGGUGUCCAAAAUUGGUCAGUGUGGCUAAAAUUGAGACACAGGUCAUGCUUCCAUCACAGUAAACAUAUUACAGUGGUGACAAUGAGACCUGUAACAUUU